rnacentral:lncRNA from 1 species
GAUAUCAUGACCAGUCAGUUAUGUACAGAGUAUUGAGUGAAGUUAUUGUGACAUAAAUGGUCGACACAAAUAGCAAAAGAAGAGUUAAACCAUAACCAAACUGAAAUACCAAAAGAGAGAAUGAAAGCAAUGAAAAUUUAUGGUGAUUUCAAGUAGCCCCUUCUAUGUAGAAAGCUCAAAGACUAAACCCUUAAUAAUACUCUUUUUUUGCAAAGAGCACUAAGAUGCUAGCUGCACAAGCCAUAGAAAUUUGGCAAACUAACUUGAACUGGGACCUGUAGUCAAGAAUUGUACAGAAACUGGAUGGCCACACUGAUAUUGUCACUAUAGUUUCAUGCCACCCCAAGCAAAACAUGAUCACAUUAUGCGCUUGACAACAAUAAGACAAUGAAAGUUUGGGUGCAAAUGGAAGAAAAUGGAUGAGUUGUCUGGUUACACUCUUAACUACCAAAAGAAGAUGCAAGUACAAAAUAUGUUGCAAGCACUCCAACACAAAGAUGAGAGAAUAAAUAUGUUACAAACACGGUUAAUCGACUAUACAAUGUUGCUCUGCAAUUAAGUUAAUGUCAUCCAUUUUGAGCACUUACAAAUCAUUUAAUAAUCAACUAAAUUCCAUCAACCUUAUUCUUUGUUCAUAUUUAUAGAAAGAUACAACACAUGAAGCCUGCCAAGAAUUAGGAUAUUAAGUUAAGACUUAAGAACACACAGAGGUACGUAUUUACUAUUUGCAGGCUACAAUUGUAGAAUAGGUUUGAUAGAUUCAUCAAUCCACAGCUCCACAUUCCAAUUCAUUUUAUCAAUUCUAGAAAGAACUCUUCUCAAGGAUUCAUAUAUUUUUGUAAUACUACAAAGCAAACCUAAUUUCUCUAUUCGUU